rnacentral:rRNA from 1 species
UACGUAGGGCGCAAGCGUUAUCCGGAAUUAUUGGGCGUAAAGGGCUCGUAGGCGGUCUGUCACGUCGGGAGUGAAAACACGGGGCUUAACCCCGUGCCUGCUUCCGAUACGGGCAGACUAGAGGUAUGCAGGGGAGAACGGAAUUCCUGGUGUAGCGGUGAAAUGCGCAGAUAUCAGGAGGAACACCGGUGGCGAAGGCGGUUCUCUGGGCAUUACCUGACGCUGAGGAGCGAAAGUGUGGGGAGCGAACAGG